rnacentral:misc_RNA from 1 species
ACCCUUGUGGAGGAGGACGCCGAAGGUGGGGCUAAUGACUGGGGUGAAGUCGUAACAAGGUAGCCGUACCGGAAGGUGCGGCUGGAUCACCUCCUAACAGGGAGACAACAAAAUGUUUAAUAUUAUUAUUUUGUCACCUUAGGUCGAUCGGUACCUCGCAUUCUUAAUUUAUUAAGGAUUUCAUUUCCUAAGUUUUUCUAGGUCACACCCAUUUUUUUUCCUGGGCCAUUAGCUCAGGUGGUUAGAGCGCACCCCUGAUAAGGGUGAGGUCCCUGGUUCAAGUCCAGGAUGGCCCAUAUCUCUAUGUUGGGGGUAUAGCUCAGUUGGUAGAGCGCCUGCUUUGCAAGCAGGAUGUCAGCGGUUCGAGUCCGCUUACCUCCACUGAUUACCACCUCUUCCAUAAACGAUUAGGGAGGAAUUAUUUUGAGUUGUGACCAAUUUCUGAACGAAUCUAGCUUCCUAAUGAAAUCAUUAAGAUGCUGGACUCAUUGAAUUAAAUUCAUUGUUUUCAGAGAACCUUGACAACUGCAUAGAUUAUUUUUAAAGACAAUAAGCAUCUUUAAUGAUGCAGAUUUAUUAUUUGUGCGAAUGCAUUAAUAACAAUUCUAUUGAGCUGAUGCUUCAAUUUUUGAAGUUAUUGGUCAAGCUACAAAGGGCUCACGGAGGAUACCUAGGCACACA